rnacentral:rRNA from 1 species
UACGUAGGGUGCAAGCGUUGUCCGGAAUUAUUGGGCGUAAAGAGCUCGUAGGCGGUUUGUCGCGUCUGCUGUGAAAACUCGGGGCUUAACUCCGGGCCUGCAGUGGGUACGGGCAGACUAGAGUGCGGUAGGGGAGACUGGAAUUCCUGGUGUAGCGGUGAAAUGCGCAGAUAUCAGGAGGAACACCGGUGGCGAAGGCGACUUACUGGACAUAUAUUGACGCUGAGGUGCGAAAGCGUGGGGAGCAAACAGG